UUUAUAUGGAAAAUUGACAUUAAUGAUGAUAUAUGAGUUAUUUUUACUACCAUAUUUAAAAUCCCUGCAAAAAGAUUUAAAUUUUUAUAAGGAAAUUUUACAUCUCACAAUUAAUAUGAUGCCAUGUCACUAUUUUCUAAAACUAUGUCAUCUAUUCUAAGUAUCAUGUCAUUUUUUUUCAGCGAGAAUAAUUGUAAUGACGACAUAUGUAUAAAUCACUUCGCAAAUAUAGUUUAGGUGAUGUUUGCUAGCUCACACACUAGAGCUCCCCGGUUCGAAUCUGAGCUCAGACAAAUGUUUUUAAUCUUUUUCCUUUCCAUUAAGAUUUUUUCGGCCCAAUCAUAAUUUCUUGGACAAUGAAUUAAAUCAUGGGCUGACAGUGGAUAGCCCAAAUAUAGCUUACGU
rnacentral:lncRNA from 1 species